rnacentral:tRNA from 1 species
UUAGUUGAAACCAAAUUAGAGGUAUUUUAUUGUUAAUAAAAAAAAUGAAUUAGUAUUCCGAUUAAA